GAUGAACGCUGGCGGCGUGCCUAAUACAUGCAAGUCGAGCGAACGGACGAGAAGCUUGCUUCUCUGAUGUUAGCGGCGGACGGGUGAGUAACACGUGGAUAACCUACCUAUAAGACUGGGAUAACUUCGGGAAACCGGAGCUAAUACCGGAUGAUAUUUUGAACCGCAUGGUUCAAAAGUGAAAGACGGUCUUGCUGUCACUUAUAGAUGGAUCCGCGCUGCAUUAGCUAGUUGGUAAGGUAACGGCUUACCAAGGCAACGAUGCAUAGCCGACCUGAGAGGGUGAUCGGCCACACUGGAACUGAGACACGGUCCAGACUCCUACGGGAGGCAGCAGUAGGGAAUCUUCCGCAAUGGGAGAAAGCCUGACGGAGCAACGCCGCGUGAGUGAUGAAGGUCUUCGGAUCGUAAAACUCUGUUAUUAGGGAAGAACAUAUGUGUAAGUAACUGUGCACAUCUUGACGGUACCUAAUCAGAAAGCCACGGCUAACUACGUG
rnacentral:rRNA from 1 species